ACAGAGGGGCAAGGCCAAAAUUUAAGGGGAAAAGGUUAGCGAAGAGUGGCGCCACCUGGUCCUGGAGAGUGAGAGUUCCGCGCGCUCUCCGGAGCCGUUAUGAGAGAAGAUAUCCGAUCUCAUCCCAUAACGGAGUCCCGAAGCCAACUCACCCAUACCCCAAAGAAAAGAGAGCCGCCAGCAGCCCGAAUCAGGCCAUGCCCUUGAACCUAGUUCAAGGGCGAUAGAAGAGAGAGCGAUGGGGAUCAGCGGCCCGGGAGCAUUAAACAGAGCAGCUAAGCCAAGAGGGGGUUCAGAGAAAGAAAUUCCCGCAACGGAGGAGCAUGCGCGCCGGACAUAGUGAUCUAGUGAUUUUUUUUGUUCUGAAAGAAAAAGGGAUCCAGAUCAGUGAGAGACCAGGAACCAGGACUAGCGGGACGGGAAAGAGACCCAAGAAGCAUAAGAGGAAUAGGUCACAGCUCU